rnacentral:rRNA from 1 species
GCCCUAUAGCUAGCCCCCCAACUAAAAACAAAACCCCCCUAUUUAUACCCCCUCAUGCACAACGCAAGUAUUAAAUAAACCAUUUUACCCCCUUAGUAUAGGCGAUAGAAAAGGGACUUAGAGAGCAAUAGAAAAAGUACCGCAAGGGAACGCUGAAAGAGAAAUGAAACAACCAACUAAAGCCUAAAAAAGCAGAGCUUCCAACUCGUACCUUU